ACAUGCAAGUCGAGCGGACAGAUGGGAGCUUGCUCCCUGAUGUUAGCGGCGGACGGGUGAGUAACACGUGGGUAACCUGCCUGUAAGACUGGGAUAACUCCGGGAAACCGGGGCUAAUACCGGAUGGUUGUUUGAACCGCAUGGUUCAGACAUAAAAGGUGGCUUCGGCUACCACUUACAGAUGGACCCGCGGCGCAUUAGCUAGUUGGUGAGGUAACGGCUCACCAAGGCGACGAUGCGUAGCCGACCUGAGAGGGUGAUCGGCCACACUGGGACUGAAACACGGCCCAGACUCCUACGGGAGGCAGCAGUAGGGAAUCUUCCGCAAUGGACGAAAGUCUGACGGAGCAACGCCGCGUGAGUGAUGAAGGUUUUCGGAUCGUAAAGCUCUGUUGUUAGGGAAGAACAAGUGCCGUUCAAAUAGGGCGGCACCUUGACGGUACCUAACCAGAAAGCCACGGCUAACUACGUGCCAGCAGCCGCGGUAAUACGUAGGUGGCAAGCGUUGUCCGGAAUUAUUGGGCGUAAAGGGCUCGCAGGCGGUUUCUUAAGUCUGAUGUGAAAGCCCCCGGUUCAACCGGGGAGGGUCAUUGGAAACUGGGGAACUUGAGUGCAGAAGAGGAGAGUGGAAUUCCACGUGUAGCGGUGAAAUGCGUAGAGAUGUGGAGGAACACCAGUGGCGAAGGCGACUCUCUGGUCUGUAACUGACGCUGAGGAGCGAAAGCGUGGGGAGCGAACAGGAUUAGAUACCCUGGUAGUCCACGCCGUAAACGAUGAGUGCUAAGUGUUAGGGGGUUUCCGCCCCUUAGUGCUGCAGCUAACGCAUUAAGCACUCCGCCUGGGGAGUACGGUCGCAAGACUGAAACUCAAAGGAAUUGACGGGGGCCCGCACAAGCGGUGGAGCAUGUGGUUUAAUUCGAAGCAACGCGAAGAACCUUACCAGGUCUUGACAUCCUCUGACAAUCCUAGAGAUAGGACGUCCCCUUCGGGGGCAGAGUGACAGGUGGUGCAUGGUUGUCGUCAGCUCGUGUCGUGAGAUGUUGGGUUAAGUCCCGCAACGAGCGCAACCCUUGAUCUUAGUUGCCAGCAUUCAGUUGGGCACUCUAAGGUGACUGCCGGUGACAAACCGGAGGAAGGUGGGGAUGACGUCAAAUCAUCAUGCCCCUUAUGACCUGGGCUACACACGUGCUACAAUGGACAGAACAAAGGGCAGCGAAACCGCGAGGUUAAGCCAAUCCCACAAAUCUGUUCUCAGUUCGGAUCGCAGUCUGCAACUCGACUGCGUGAAGCUGGAAUCGCUAGUAAUCGCGGAUCAGCAUGCCGCGGUGAAUACGUUCCCGGGCCUUGUACACACCGCCCGUCACACCACGAGAGUUUGUAACACCCGAAGUCGGUGAGGUAACCUU
rnacentral:rRNA from 1 species